CAGAAGCCUCCUUAUUCGCUUUGUUUCUCUCCCUGAGAAGCAUCAUUAUCACCCCGAGAGAGAGAUGUGCACUCAGCCAUGGCCACAAGCAAGGCUAUAGCUCCUGGAGUCGUGUUACGAGGUGGCUACCCUCCAGCCGGAUUGGGGAUGGGACCGAAUCUGCCCACGCUCCAGCGUGACUCCCAGCAGCUGCUGGGACAAUGAAAGCUCUGACCAACUGCAAAGGGCACAGCUGCAUCACAGAGCACGCACACUUGUCUACUGCUUUCAAACUGGGCAUUUAAGGGCUACUCUAGGAAGGCAAACAGCAACAGAGAGCAGGCAUUUUGAUCAUUAAGGGUGAGGGCUUUUUGAGGCUCCCUACGAUCUUAAAUCUCUAUUAAGAAACCAGUGUACACUUUCAUUAGUAAUAUACAAAUACAGUGACUACUUUGUGUACAGGGUCUACGGCUCACAGGACAAAUCUUCCAUUUUGGGGCUAGA